rnacentral:rRNA from 1 species
GAUGAACGCUGGCGGCGUGCCUAAUACAUGCAAGUCGAGCGAACGGACGAGAAGCUUGCUUCUCUGAUGUUAGCGGCGGACGGGUGAGUAACACGUGGAUAACCUACCUAUAAGACUGGGAUAACUUCGGGAAACCGUAGCUAAUACCGGAUAAUAUUUUAACCGCAUGGUUCAAAAGUGAAAGACGGUCUUGCUGUCACUUAUAGAUGGAUCCGCGCUGCAUUAGCUAGUUGGUAAGGUAACGGCUUACCAAGGCAACGAUGCAUAGCCGACCUGAGAGGGUGAUCGGCCACACUGGAACUGAGACACGGUCCAGACUCCUACGGGAGGCAGCAGUAGGGAAUCUUCCGCAAUGGGCGAAAGCCUGACGGAGCAACGCCGCGUGAGUGAUGAAGGUCUUCGGAUCGUAAAACUCUGUUAUUAGGGAAGAACAUAUGUGUAAGUAACUGUGCACAUCUUGACGGUACCUAAUCAGAAAGCCACGGCUAACUACGUG